rnacentral:rRNA from 1 species
AUGAAGGUCUCCACUUUGCAGUCGCUGCUUCUUGUGAUCAUCUUGUCUAGUUCCUGCAGCCUGAGUGCAAAUGCAGGUGCUGGAGAUCACCAUGAACACAAACAUUUCAUGGUUGUGCCAACAAGCUCCCUAAAGCACAUCCCAGAAGACGCCGCCUGCUCCGGACACAAGGUGAUACCGUCAAACGGCACCGCCUGGGUGCCGAUGAACUGCUCGCACGGUCCGUGCUCAUCAACAUCGUCGAGGGCAUCAGAGGAUAUAGGCAUCGAUGUCGAUGACAUGCUUCUGUGGGACCAGCUCCGCACCAGCUACAUCCGGACGCAGCUCUCUGCUGAUAUCGGCAGUGUCGGUGCGGGGAUACCAAUAAUUGCCAGAUCUACCACGGUUUCUAACCGGGAUUAUAUGCUGUCUUCGACAGCUUCAGUCGGGACAAACUCAGGGACAUCGAACUCGAUCGAAAAAUCUGAUCAGACUCCGCCCGGCGAGCACCAUGCCACUAUGAGCCAGACGGUGGUCGUCGACACGAGCAGCGACAUCCCCUGGGUGCAGUGUCUCCCGUGCCCCAUCCCGCAGUGCCACCUCCAGAAGGAUCCCUUCUAUGACCCUGCCAAGUCGAGUACGUUCGCACCAAUCACAUGUGGCUCACCGGCCUGCAAGGUGCUAGGCAGCAGCUACGGCAAUGGCUGCUCAACCACCACCGAUGAGUGCAAGUACAUUGUAAAUUAUGGCGACGGUAAGGCAACUACCGGGACGUAUGUUACUGACACGCUGACGAUGUCCCCAACCAUUGUGGUGAAGGACUUCCGGUUUGGGUGCAGCCAUGCCGUGAGGGGCUCCUUCAGCAACCAGAAUGCAGGCAUCCUGGCACUCGGCGGCCGUCGCGGGUCGCUUCUACAGCAGACAGCAGAGGCCUAUGGUAACGCAUUCUCCUACUGCAUCCCACAGCCGAGCUCCGCCGGCUUCCUCUCGUUGGGCGGGCCGGUGGAGGCUUCGUUGAAGUUUGCACAUACACCUCUCAUCAAGAACAAACAUACACCAACAUUCUACAUCGUGCACCUGGAGGCGAUCAUCGUGGCCGGGAAGCAACUGAGCGUGCCGCCAACAGCUUUUGCCACGGGCGCGGUGAUGGAUUCUGGCGCAGUCGUCACGCAGCUGCCGCCACCAGUGUACGCUGCACUACGAACAGCGUUCAGAAGCGCCAUGGCAGCGUAUGGCCCACUGGCGGCACCCGUGCGCAACCUCGACACAUGCUACGACUUCACCCGCUUCCCUGAGGUGAAGGUCCCAAAGGUUUCUCUCGUAUUCGCUGGCGGCGCCACCUUGGAGCUCGACCCGGCAUCCAUAAUGUUGGAUGGCUGCUUGGCGUUCGCGGCCACCCCCGGUGAAGAAUCCGUCGGCUUCAUCGGCAACGUGCAGCAGCAGACUUACGAGGUUCUCUAUGACGUCGGCGGCGGCUCCGUGGGAUUCCGCCCUGCUGCGUGCUGA